UGACGUAGGGAGCAAGCGUUGUCCGGAAGUCAAUUGGGCGUAAAGCGCGCGUAGGCGGGCCCUGUAAAGUCCCGUUGUGAAAGUCAAAAGGCUCAACCUUUGAAAAGCCGAUGGAUUACUGCAGGGCUGGAGUCCGGAAGAGGCGAAGUGGAAUUCCUGGUGGUAAGUCCGGUGGAAUGCGCAGGAUAAUCGGGAGGAACACCGGUGGCGAAGGCGAAGCCCCUUGGACCCUGGUACGUAGGACGCUCC
rnacentral:rRNA from 1 species